rfam:Bacteria symbiont BFo1 of Frankliniella occidentalis strain BFo1 contig034, whole genome shotgun sequence.
CGCGUUUCAAUCGGUUUAACCAGCAGCGAGUUAUUAUUGAGGUUCACAUCGCCCGUGGCACGCACCUGCUCGCCGUCCAGCGGGAUAUCAAGAUGUAAGUGACCACUCACAUCACCGCCAAUUUGCAGCUCAUCCAGCGCGCCGCCGAGUGAAGGCUUAAGCGGGGAUUGAUUGAAGUAGUCGCGGAUCUGCGGCCCGCCGCCUUUGAUAUCGCCAUCAACGAUCAGCUUUUCCUGCAGAUAGUCAGGGAUCACCGCCGAGAUAUUGUGCCCGUCCACCUCGCCCAGCUUGAUCUUCUCUGCCUUCAUCCACAGGCCGUUGUUGGCGAAGUCGAGGUCAAUAUCAAGGUUUUCCAACGCGGGCCAGCCGGGCUCAAAUUCGUAGGUGGCCUUGCGCAGCGGCACG